GCAUUUCUGUGGCUCAGUUGGUAGAGCAUUACUUUAACAACACAAAGGUCAUGGGUUUGAAUCCCAGGAAAAGCA